rnacentral:tRNA from 1 species
CGCCAUCUGGUACGCGGCGGUGGCCCGGCUGGCUGCGAUCCAGGCCGCCACGGUCCAGCUCAGUGUGCCGAUCAUCGCGGCGACGGCGG